UCCUACGGGAGGCAGCAGUGAGGAAUAUUGGUCAAUGGUCGCAAGUCUGAACCAGCCAUGCCGCGUGCAGGAAGACGGUCCUAUGGAUUGUAAACUGCUUUUAUACAGGAAGAAACCCUCCCACGUGUGGGAGCU
rnacentral:rRNA from 1 species